GACGAACGCUGGCGGCGUGCUUAACACAUGCAAGUCGAACGGAAAGGCCCUGCUUUUGUGGGGUGCUCGAGUGGCGAACGGGUGAGUAACACGUGAGUAACCUGCCCUUGACUUUGGGAUAACUUCAGGAAACUGGGGCUAAUACCGGAUAGGAGCUCCUGCUGCAUGGUGGGGGUUGGAAAGUUUCGGCGGUUGGGGAUGGACUCGCGGCUUAUCAGCUUGUUGGUGGGGUAGUGGCUUACCAAGGCUUUGACGGGUAGCCGGCCUGAGAGGGUGACCGGCCAGGGUGGGACGGUGCGCGGGCACAGACAGGAGGGGGGGGGAGGAGGGGGGGAAAGUGCAGGAGGGGGGGAGGCGGGGUGCGGCACGGCGGGGGGGGGGAUGACGGCGUGCGGGUUGCAGACCGCGUGCGGGUGGGAGGAGGGUGGGGUGAGGUUAGUGGUUAAAGAAGACCGGGCUAAAGACGUGCAGCCAGCGGUGGGAAGCGGCGAAGAGCACACUUCCGAGC
rnacentral:rRNA from 1 species